rnacentral:rRNA from 1 species
AGCAGCCGCGGUAAUUCCAGCUCCAAUAGCGUAUAUUAAAGUUGCUGCAGUUAAAAAGCUCGUAGUUGAAUUUCGGGAUCAAUAUGUUGGUCGUGCCUCGGUACGUACUAGCUUAUUGGUUUCUCCCUUCUGACGAACCAUGAUGUCAUUUAUUUGGUGUUAUGGGAAAUCAGGACUGUUACUUUGAAAAAUUAGAGUGUUUAAAGCAGGCUCACGCUUGAAUACAUUAGCAUGGAAUAAUGAAAUAGGACGUUUGAUUCUAUUUUGUUGGUUUCUAGGAUCGACGUAAUGAUUAAUAGGGAUAGUUGGGGGCAUUAGUAUUCAAUUGUCAGAGGUGAAAUUCUUGGAUUUAUUGAAGACUAACUACUGCGAAAGCAUUUGCCAAGGAUGUUUUCUAUUAAUCAAGAACGAAAGUUAGGGGAUCGAAGACGAUCAGAUACCGUCGUAGUCUUAACCAUAAACUAUGCCGACUAGGGAUCGGAUGA